GAUGAACGCUAGCGGCAGGCCUAACACAUGCAAGUCGAGGGGUAACAGAGAGUGCUUGCACUUUGCUGACGACCGGCGCACGGGUGCGUAACGCGUAUAGAAUCUACCUUAUACUGAGGGAUAGCCUUUGGAAACGAAGAUUAACACCUCAUAGUAUGUAUAAAUGGCAUCAUUUAUACAUUAAAGGUUACGGUAUAAGAUGACUAUGCGUCCUAUUAGCUAGAUGGUGUGGUAACGGCACACCAUGGCAACGAUAGGUAGGGGCCCUGAGAGGGGGAUCCCCCACACUGGUACUGAGACACGGACCAG
rnacentral:rRNA from 1 species